CAACCACCCGCACGUACGACCGAGGUCUCUUGCCCUCGAGCGAGAAACAGUUGCCCAACUCUGUGCCCUCGUUCCCCGCCGCCGCCCUUCGUCCCCUCACCACCACCGCUAGAUCCCUUCGCCGCCGCUCGGUGCCGCCAGCCCCCGACCUCCUCCCCGGCUCCCGGCGCCGCCCGUCCCCCAUCUGCUCCCCCGAUCCCGGCUAAGCCCGGCCCCCACCUUCUCUCUCACUCUCGGCGGCGAUCCCCGUGGUGUCCCCGGACCGGAGGCCGUCGAGGAUGUAGAGCGCCGGGAGCGCGGCGCCGACGAGGAACCCCCCAUAAUGUGCGCAGCGAGGAGGAGGCGCUCGGCGCCGACGAGUAGAUGCAGGCGCAGAUCGAGCGGGUACUGCCGCCGCGCACCGGCAAGUGCAGGUACCUGCAUGCCCACCCGUUUCUUCCUCUCAACGCGAGACUGGAGGCCGAUCUUGGCGGUGAGGAGACGGUGGCGGCGCCGAUGAACUGUCCCCCUUGGCACCGUUACCGCUGGGCACCGAGACAAAGGAGUGCUGGAUGCCAACGCCUCGAGGCCUGCCUCAAGUACAGAUCAUCAGCGGCAAAUAUUCAAUCAACAUACGACCACUGAGGGGAUCCAUCGGUGCAUUAUGAAUGAUGAAGGAGAAGAGCAAAGAACACAAAUCUUCCCCACGGCUAUUGAUUUUAUGCACAUCGGCUGCAUCAUGUGAUAUGGUAAACCAACAGAGGUAUGUGGAUAAUCCAAACUGCUUAUUUUUCGUCCGACACCGCCCCACCUUCAGUGACCUGAUUGCUAGCAAAAUGUCACAACAGGUUUGUUUCGAAGUAUCAGUUCAAAAUAUGGCGAUUGAAUAAAAAACACUAUCUUAUUUUUUAUCUCACGGAUCAUACUUUAAAGUUAAUAAUUUUUAUAAUGCUCCGUAAUAGAUUCGUGUUGGUUGUGUAAUUCUUGAGUGAGUUACAUGUUCUCUCCAUCACCCCCUUUAUUUUUUGCAAAUCAAUUGCCUUCUUCAUGUGUUUCAGCUGCUAGGACUGAAGGCCGAAGUAAUGUAUGUUUAAUCUCAGCAAUUUAGUUAUAAGUCUAAUUAAUUCAUACCAUCUCUGAAACAUUCAGUUCUAAUUGGUUGCAUACUUCCAAAGAUCGUAUGACACAGUAGCCAUGGACGCCACAUCAGCUUGGGAACAUGGCCACAACAGAUUGGUAUCUUCUCUUCUGAAAUUGGUUGCAUACUUGCCAAAGGUCGCAUGACUCAGCAGCCAUGGACGCCACAUCUGCCUGGGAAUGUGGCCGCAACAGAUUGGUAUCUUCUUUUCUGAAAUCCAAUAGCAGCCGUCCAUUUGUUUGCUGAUAUGCCUGACUGAAUUUGCAAAGAGUUAUCAAGUCUGUAUUUGCGAGAGUUUCUCAUUGUCUGAUUGACGUGACUAUCAAGUAUUUGUUGGAUGGCAACUCUAAGCUGCAUGUUCAUUGGGAGAAUCAUGAUGAAUCUUUGAUGAACACUGUCAAAGAUGAAAAGGCGAAUUCUUCGAUUCCCCGGGCUGUCAGGGAUUUUGUACUUCCAGCAGGUUUUCUAGGUGAAUGUUGGCAUCCCCGUGUGGUUUGGUUAUGCAUCGAUGCAUUGCUUUUGCUCUUUGUCAUGGAGUACUAACUGUGGAGGUUCAGGUUUACAAUCUUAGAAAUGCAGUGAUUGAUGUGUUUUCUAAUUGUAAUGCAGCAAACAAAUUGUUUUGCAAGUUAUGUACUUUAAUUAUCUGUAUCUUACCAUUCUUACCAAGUACUGUCAAAUGUACAGCUUGAUUUUGUAUAUGUAUUUCCCUCAGUUUCUUGUAGGUUCCUGCAUAAGAGGUCAUUAUUGCAGAGUUGGAGACUGACACUAUGUUUAUCAGUACAUGCUAUUGGAAUUCCCAACAAACUUGACAGGAUGGAUUAGUCACACGUUGGUUACAUCAAGUCUUCUAAAGGUAUCCCGUAAUCUAUUAAUCAAGAUGUUUGCAGAACUAAAUAAUGUUGUAGUGACUGAACGAUUACCUGAUAAAUUAAAUUCAGUAAGUAUAUCAUUUACAGUAGCAUCUUAUUCUUAUGUGAUGUAAUAUAUGAUCAUAUGGAUUGCAGUAUUUGAUAGCUCCAAAAUAACUUCAAGAUUUUGCCACGUGCUCUCAAACAAUCGUAGUCCGAACAUUUGGUGGCCAGUUGCUACUAUCUCUACUCUGCUUCGUCCUUUCGUAAUGGCAAUAAGAAAUCUUGAUUGCUGCCGACAUGAAAUUCUAACUGAAUUUGUUAUUCAGCGGGCAAAUCCAACAUCUUUUUGUACUGUAUUUGCAUGUUCCAGGAUAAUUUGGUGGCAAAAGAGCUACGUCGUUUCUCACUAGACCAACAGACAAUAGUUGUGAUACCUUUGCAUUUAUAUAGUACCAUAUUUACUCAUCUGUAUACACUGUUCCUUUCAUUCCUCACACCACAAGUAUCUAACGGCCGGAUAGGUCCAGUCCAGCCGAGACACAUAUAUUCCAGUCCAACAUACUCCCUCCAUCCAAAAAAGCUUGUCCCAAGCUUUUUCGGAUGAAGGGAAUAUAUAGUCCAGUCACACAUGCUCUAACGUGAUUUCACGAGAGACAGUUAGGCCAGCAACGGUAUAUCCGUAAAGAAUAGCGACAGCUAAAGGAAACCAUUCAGCAGGUAAGAAUGAGAUAGACUUUUCAGUGCCAGGCAACCAUUGCGCUGUAGAGAAGUGGAACAACAUUUAUGGUACUGCUAUUGUUAAUCGAAAGAACUUUCUUUUGUUAACAUGGUACCCACUAACGUGUGCAUAUGCAUUUUUCUCCUGUAGUCCUAGAGGGAUAAAGACGCAUAUAAUUACGAUGGAGGUGACAGGCCUGAAAAUGUGAGAAUUGAAGCAAUAUAUUCCCUUGUAUAUAUGUUUUCUCUUUUGAAAUAUCUCAAUAGUUUUCCAAUUUGUUUCCUGUAAAUCUCAUAUUUUAAUACUCCUUAGACCUUAGUAAUGCAUAGGUGUAAUAUUUGUUGAUAUUGCAAUUUUGAAGGAUCUGCUUUUCUUGUAUAGAUCUAUUUUUUUAAUCUUGAAGGCAGUACAAGAGGCCCUAAUGACAUAUAUACAGUACUAACAGGAAUAUCCUGCCUUCACUGCAUCGGUGGAUCAUGCGGAAUCUCUGGGCACAUGGAGCAUUGCCAAAACCAGCGCCAGGGUGGCGCUCAGCUGACCCCCGACGUUGGUUCCACAAAAACACAUGGGGAGGGGAACUAUAUGUUACAAUCUGAAAAUGGCUAAGGAGACAUCAGAUCUACCUUCUUGGCUCGGAGGGUGUCAUAGGUGGCGCACAACUCCCCCCUAUCGACAGAAACACAUGGGGAGGGGAACAAAAUGGAGAGCGGGGCGGUUGGCGGGGGACUCCUCGGCGGUCCGUGGGGAAAUACAAUGUGAAGAAGAGAGUGCGACAUGACAAAGGUGAGAUGGGCGUUAUCUGGUUUCAAUGGAGAGGGCUCCAGUGAAAAAUGUCCCGCUAUGGCGGGAAAUGAGCGGGGAGGUGAGGGUUCGGCAGGGAAGGAGAAGGGUGCGUCGUGGGUGUUUUUUUUAAUUUGUUCGGUCCGCGCAUGUUAGAGAUAACAUGGCAGAUAGUCUGGAUAACCAUAUUUCUUCCUCACAUAUGGAUAUGCAUGGAUUUGAAGAUACCCUAUUCUCCAGACGGUUGAAUUUUGGGGAUCCUGUUAGAUGUCCGUUUGAUGUACGUUCACACUCGAAAGUAGGAGGGAGAAAUGAGCUUCCACUUUAGAAUUUAAUUAUUUUUUUGAUUUAUUUAUAUGCAUUGUAGCCCGUAGCAAUGCACGGGCGUUCUACUGGACUGACAUAAAGUCAGUGAGUUCAAAAUUUCCAUGUUUAGUUUUGACUGAUGUUAUGGUUCUUCAUUGAGUUUUGUUCCAGGUAUUUACCUAGAUCCUUGAGAUGCUAUUCGUAUUGGCCUGAAUGCAGUUGAGUUCUGAAUCAUAAACAAGCUGGGAGAUUUGUCUUCCACAUAGUAGGUGCUGAUGCUUAUGAUUUUCUUCAAAAAAGAUAUGGGAAAGGCUAACUCAAUAUUUUAGUUUUCAUUAUGAGGACCAUGUACAUAAUCGACCAUAUAGUUCAAGAAAGAUCUAUCGAUGAAGGUUUGUUUGAGUUCCACUAUUUCAGUUCACACAUGUACAUGUUCUGUAUUUUUUGCAGUUUUUAGUGCAUGCUCGGAGAACAAGAUAAGAGGAGAGGCUUGAAUCUUGAGAUGACAAGGGUAGUCACCUGCUGCGACUAAAGGAAGGAGGUGAAUGAAGCAAAAGGCACGAAAAGGAAGGAGCAGCGCCACAGGGACGAUGUUGUCGGCAGCGCUUUGGAAGGAUUCGCUCCAGAGAAGUUACGGUAGUCGGCCAUCGCCCAGGGGAAGCAGGGAGGAUGUCGUUCGAAACGCCUGGGUCUAGAGGAGUGUGUCCAGGUGGUGGCCGAGGAUGGCGACGAGCAAUUGGGUUGGGCAUUUAUCAACGUGAUGGCGUCGUUGCUCAAGGUACCAACACCCUUGUUUUGACCCAAUGUUUCUUGGCUAACUGUGCAUGGCUAGGACUGUUUCGUGCAUAUGGGGGACGGCUCAUGCCAUCCACUUCCAAAGCAAUAAGACUUGAAAGGAGAAAAUAUUGGCAAAAAGUCCCUUAAAAUUUGUAGUCUGGGUGUAGAAGGUUUGGGGAUUUUGAGCCGGAUGGGCCAUUGAUGGUUGCGGUUGGCUUGGACAGGGAAUGUAGAGAUAGUAAGUGAAGAGGAGCAGGAGAACGAAGACGAAGAAGAAUAGUGGUUUAUAGGUAGAAAAAAAAUUAAGAAUGUUGCUUAAUGUGCAUGAGGAUCCAAACAAUGUAUAUUUGGCACGAUUAAAGUUGACUCAUGUCGAGCCUCAGGAUGGUGGUGGAGCGGUCAUGGUGGACGGUUAUUAUGCAAGAAUUUGUUAAACGCAUCAAAUAGAUAUUAAUUUGUAACAAAUUUUUAGUUUGAUCAUCGCACUAUAUGUAUGCAUUGUCAAAUUGCCUUUUAUUAACAGUUUACAAUGUAAGUGAAGUGGACUUAAAUUAUUACUCGAUUA